rnacentral:tRNA from 1 species
GCUUUGCUGUGCUGGGCACAAUGCUGUCUUGAAAACAGUUUAGGAAUGUUCGAUUCAUUUGUAAGGCU